UACGGGGGGGCAAGCGUUGUUCGGAAUUACUGGGCGUAAAGGGCUCGUAGGCGGCCAACUAAGUCAGACGUGAAAUCCCUCGGCUUAACCGGGGAACUGCGUCUGAUACUGGAUGGCUUGAGAUUGGGAGAGGGAUGCGGAAUUCCAGGUGUAGCGGUGAAAUGCGUAGAUAUCAGGAGGAACACCGGUGGCGAAGGCGGUUCUCUGGGCCUUACCUGACGCUGAGGCGCGACAGCGUGGGGAGCAAACAGG
rnacentral:rRNA from 1 species